rnacentral:rRNA from 2 species
UACCGUCAGUUUGGCUGGAUCGGAGACAGGUGCUGCAUGGCUGUCGUCAGCUCGUGUCGUGAGAUGUUGGUUAAAUCCCGCAACGAGCGCAACCCUCGCUCUUAGUUGCCAUCAUUCAGUUGGGCACUCUAAGGGGGACUGCCGGUGAUAAGCUGGAGGAAGGUGGGGAUGACGUCAAGUCCUCAUGGCCCUUACGGGCUGGGCUACACACGUGCUACAAUGGUGGUGACAGUGGGCAGCGAGACCGCGAGGUUGAGCUAAUCUCCAAAAACCAUCUCAGUUCGGAUUGCACUCUGCAACUCGGGUGCAUGAAGUUGGAAUCGCUAGUAAUCGUGUAUCAGCAUGCCACGGUGAAUACGUUCCCGGGCCUUGUACACACCGCCCGUCACACCAUGGGAGUUGG